UCGGUAUGUACUGGCUUUACUGAUUCCUCCUUCUUGACGAACCGUGAUGUCAUUAAUUUGGUGUUGCGGGAAAUCAGGACUGUUACUUUGAAAAAAUUAGAGUGUUUAAAGCAGGCUAACGCUUGAAUACAUUAGCAUGGAAUAAUGAAAUAGGACGUUAAUCCUAUUUUGUUGGUUUCUAGGAUCGACAUAAUGAUUAAUAGGGAUAGUUGGGGGCAUUAGUAUUCAAUUGUCAGAGGUGAAAUUCUUGGAUUUAUUGAAGACUAACUACUGCGAAAGCAUUUGCCAAGGAUGUUUUCAUUAAUCAAGAACGAAAGUUAGGGGAUCGAAGACGAUCAGAUACCGUCGUAGUCUUAACCAUAAACUAUGCCAACAAGGGAUCGGAUGAUGUUAUUUUUAAGGACUC
rnacentral:rRNA from 1 species